GGAGGUAGUGACAAUAAAUCACAAUGCGGGACUUGUAGUCUUGCAAUUGGAUUGAGAACAACGUAAAACUCUUAUCGAUAAGCCAUUGGAGGGCAAGUCUGGUGCCAGCAGCCGCGGUAAUUCCAGCUCCAAUAGCGUAUAUUAACGUUGUUGCAGUUAAAAAGCUCGUAGUUGAAGUGAGGGAGUGUGUGUUGUGAUCGAAUCGAUCGAGAGCAGUACAACCUCCCCCUUCCAAUGGGUGUAUUGGGGUAUUCAUUUACUUCAUUACUCCUUUGGUCGUUUACUGUGAGAAAAUUAGAGUGUUCAAAGCGGGCGUUUGUUUGAAUAGAUUAGCAUGGAAUAAUGAUUGAAGGCUUUCGUGUUCGAUUUGAUUGGUUUGUUCAUGGAAGCAAGGUUAAAAGGAACAGUUGGGGGUAUUCAUAUUCACUAGUUAGAGGUGAAAUUCUCGGAUUUAUGGAAGAUGAACAAGUGCGAAAGCA
rnacentral:rRNA from 1 species